UACGUAGGGCGCGAGCGUUGUCCGGAUUUAUUGGGCGUAAAGAGCUCGUAGGCGGCUUGUCGCGUCAACUGUGAAAACCCGUGGCUCAACCAUGUGGUCUGCAGUCGAUACGGGCAGGCUAGAAUUCGGUAGGGGAGACUGGAAUUCCUGGUGUAGCGGUGAAAUGCGCAGAUAUCAGGAGGAACACCGGUGGCGAAGGCGGCAUCCUGGACCGGCAUUGACGCUGAGGCGCGAAAGCUAGGGGGAGCAAACGGGG
rnacentral:rRNA from 1 species